rnacentral:rRNA from 1 species
UUGCCAGACUCCUACGGGAGGCAGCAGUGAGGAAUAUUGGUCAAUGGGCUAAGGCCUGAACCAGCCAAGUCGCGUGAGGGAAGACGGUCCUAUGGAUUGUAAACCUCUUUUGUCGGGGAGCAACGAGGCCACGUGUGGCCGAAGUGAGAGUACCCGAAGAAAAAGCAUCGGCUAACUCCGUGCCAGCAGCCGCGGUAAUACGGAGGAUGCGAGCGUUAUCCGGAUUUAUUGGGUUUAAAGGGUGCGUAGGCGGAACAUUAAGUCAGCGGUAAAAUCGAGGGGCUCAACCCCUUUAAGCCGUUGAAACUGGCUGUCUUGAGAUGUCGAGAGGUAUGCGGAAUGCGCAGUGUAGCGGUGAAAUGCUUAGAUAUUGCGCAGAACUCCGAUUGCGAAGGCAGCAUACCGGCGGCGAUCUGACGCUGAGGCACGAAAGCGUGGGUAUCGAACAGGAUUAGAUACCCGAGUAUA